CGUUUACGUGACACCCUUUGAGAAAAGUUGUUUGGAAAGUUUCCCUAGCAUAGUUAGUUAACAUAGGCAUACCUUUUUAUAAAUAGCGAGCAGUGUGGACAGAGCUAAACCCAGGAGUCACAAUCUAGACCUUAAACUUUCCCGAUGUCUUGUCAGACAUGGAAGCGUUUUUUCAGAUUUCAAAGUCUGAGGAGAGCUCCUUCUACCAGAGAGGUUAGCCGAGCCCAGUUCUGCAGCGCUGGCGACGGAGGGAGAAACACGACCUCUGCGGAGAAAGGAGGGACGGUCUCCGGGCAGACUGUGGUCUCUGCCAGGCGAGGGGCGGUGGUUACUGUGGCGAUAAACCGUCCGGAGGUGCGUAACGCGGUGAACCGGGAGACGGCGGCGAGGCUGUUGGACGAGCUGUCUGCCUUCGACCGCGACCCCCAGCUGAACGUGGCAAUUCUCCAUGGAAACGGAGGGAAUUUCUGCGCUGGUUACGAUCUGAAAGAGCUGGCCAAUCAUACAGCCUCCGUCAAAUUGGAGCAAGAUGUCACCAAAGGCCCUGGUCCUAUGGGCCCCUCCAGGCUGCAGCUGUCUAAGCCCCUGAUAGCAGCGGUCAGCGGUUACGCGGUGGCUGGAGGUCUGGAGCUUGCUCUGCUGGCUGACCUCAGGGUGCUGGAGGAGAGCGCCAUCAUGGGGGUGUUCUGUCGCAGGUUUGGAGUUCCUCUGAUCGACGGCGGCACUGUCCGCCUCCCUCACCUCAUUGGCUUAUCCCGGGCCAUGGACCUCAUUCUGACUGGUCGGCCAAUCGGUGCACAGGAGGCCCUGGCCUUCGGGUUGGCUAACAGAGUGGUGCCGGAUGGUCAAGCCCUGCAGGCAGCUAUGGAGCUGGCUGAGCAGAUCAGCUCGUUCCCCCAGCAGUGUAUGCGUGCCGACCGCUCCUCUGCUCUCCACAGCGUGUACGCUGCUACCUCGCUCUCUGCCGCCAUGCAGUACGAGGCCCAGCAUGGGGCGCCCGUCCUCCGGGCCGAGGCCGUCGCCGGGGCAACCAGCUUCACCUGCGGAGUGGGGAGAGGUGGGAGGUUCACCUGAGGGAGCGACACCUAACAAUGGAGGAGGUGGAGAGGCGGGAGGGUUAUCUGGCUAGCACAGCAUAGAAGUAGAAACCAUCAACAGAUACGAUUACACAACUACUGUCAGGACAGUCUCCUACUGAAGACCAGGAGAGACCAGGACAGUCUCCUACUGAAGACCAGGGCAGUCUCCUACUGAAGACCAGGGCAGUCUCCUACUGAAGACCAGGAGAGACCAGGACAGUCUCCUACUGAAGACCAGGGCAGUCUCCUACUGAAGACCAGGAGAGACCAGGACAGUCUCCUACUGAAGACCAGGGCAGUCUCCUACUGAAGACCAGGACAGUCUCCUACUGAAGACCAGGACCAGCAGACCCUGCCCACCCCACACCUCCCCCCUCCUCACCAGUCCUCCUCCUUGGUCGUUGGGGAGUGUCUUUCCCAGUGCUGGUCUGGCCUGGGUCUGGAUGGGGAGGUGGAGGAUG